rnacentral:rRNA from 1 species
UACGAAGGGUGCAAGCGUUAAUCGGAAUUACUGGGCGUAAAGCGCGCGUAGGUGGUUCAGUAAGUUGGAAGUGAAAUCCCCGGGCUCAACCUGGGAACUGCUUUCAAAACUGCUGGGCUAGAGUACGGUAGAGGGUGGUGGAAUUUCCUGUGUAGCGGUGAAAUGCGUAGAUAUAGGAAGGAACACCAGUGGCGAAGGCGACCACCUGGACUGAUACUGACACUGAGGUGCGAAAGCGUGGGGAGCAAACAGG